ensembl:lncRNA
UUUUUUUUUUUUAAAGCUUGCUUGAAGAGGAGAAAGAAGAAAAGAUAAAGACAAUAAUAAAAUGGUUUAUUAUUUCCAAGAGUAGGUAUGGAAGCUUAGAUAACCCUGGGAUGAGCACACAAUAAAUGCAAGAGAUAGAGAUUAUUAACUUUGCACUGACAAAUCAUUCACAGUUUUGUUUGCCAUAGUUAUUUGGAAACCUGUUUCAAAUCUUGUGACAGCUUGCAACAGCCAGCCUUGUGUCUCCAAAACCUGCUGGGUGUCUCUGAUGCAAAAGCCUAUGGAGUAACAAAACAAAGACCAUGAGGACAUCAGGAUUAAGAAAGGUAUGUCACCCAUCAGUGGAUUUGAGAAAUGGUGCCUCUCUGUAUGGUCAUCUAUCAGUAUCUAGUGAUACGAAUGCUUUGAUCUCUGCAGUGAGCUGGUGCAUCCCUGAUGCUGCACAACCAUCCCUCCCAUAUGAACUGGCUUCAGAGGGUCACUCAGCCUCUGGUUUAUGAGAAUCAUAUUUGCUUCUGCAAUGCAGAAUUUUUACAAUUUUAAAGCUGUUAGGACUAGACAGAAAGCUUUAUCUCAUAGACAGCUAGGCGUACAGGCUUUCAACUGAUGUAACUAUGCUGUAUGCCUCACGUAUAUGCAGAAAUUAUGGUACUUAACAGCCUGGGUUGUAAAAUAUCUUGCCUUAAAUUCCUGACGCCCUGAAAUAUAGAGCAGUUCAUUUGGUUUACUUUUACAGGCUUUAACGUUUCAAUGACAAACUCUACACGGGAACUGCAGCCAUUCGGCUUUGUAGGCUGAAGAACAUGGGGGAAAAAAGGACAUGUAAAAGAAGCCUUCGAAAGUGUUUCAAGUGUAUGUUUUCCCUAUAGCGUGGUAUAGGUCACCUUGUUGAGUGCAAGGAGAAAGGUUUUAUAGGUUCUCCUUGCAGGAGGAAGGGGGAGUGAUGUUGUUGCCAUUUGUGAACAGCUAUGCCAUCUCCCCACAAUAAUGUGUGAGGGGACCGUUUCCCUCAGGCUGUGUAGCUAUAAAACAAACAACUUCUGUUCCUUGUAUAGAUAAGGUUCACGUAUGCCAAGACAAGCAGUUCUCCAAACGAGGCCCAAACUACCCCCAGCUGCCCAUGAACACAGCAGUGGAGAUGCAGAGCAGAGCAGUGGUGGUAUUCAUUACACAGCCCAACAAUAAGGAACUGUAAUCUCCUGCUACACGAGUGAGCAAAGAAUUAACCUUCAAACCUGAUUAUGCUAACAUUGCUGUUUGCUACUAAAGCUGUCCCAAGGAGACAGGAUUGAUUUCUGAAUAUGCAAACGAUUAAGCAUUACAUUCACACUUCUCUUGUGUAUUUUGGGCAACUUGAUGACCUUUUAACAAAUCUGCAAUGAAGACAACAUAACAACGCUGGCAGUUGCUUAAAGAAUGAGGCUUCCUGGAUGACUUGCAGAAGUGUGUGGGUCUUCUGUAAAUGCUGGCUACUGUAGACUAAGAUCAAUUUCAUAAUAAGGUCCUGAUGCUUUUAAUUAUCUGUUUUGGAUAUCUGAAAUAUAAUAAUAUAAAUUCUGAAGUUAAAAUCUGUUUUCAACAAGAAAAUAUUUCAUAAAUGUCAAAUCUCCACAAAUUUUCAUUCCCUUUUAUGCAUUAAGCCACCACAAUUUGUAAAAACAUAGUGGCAAAUUCUGAAAUGCAUUGACAGAAAGUCAAAAAAGAGAAGACGAGCCUGGAUUUUAGGAUAUGAAUACUAGUAUAUAAUGGGAGUGUUAAUGGCUACUCUAAUUAAGACCUCGGAAAUAAAAUAUUUGUAAGGACUGUGAUUCUGCUCAGUUACUUCAUAAUUUUCAGCAUGCUGAAUUCAUUCUUGGCAAAAUCCACUUGUUUUCAGGAAUCAAUUUUGGUUCAUCAUGAUGAAUAGGACAAACAUAUGCUCUUACUGUUUAAAAUAAUAGGUAGAUAGAGGCGCUUUUUGCUAUGCUUUCUAAUCUACAGAGGUACCAAAUCUAGAGACAAUGAAUAAUUGAGUUAAUGAUGCUGAGGAAUAUUACACAUAAUAGAUAUUUUACAAUAGCUCUGAAAUAUGUCCACUUGAUUUAUAGAAAUAUCACAACUUCUGUAUAAAUCCCAGACUGUGUGAGAGGGCAUCUCUUUUUAAUAGUGUAUUCUGUGCAUGCACCAUUUGCUAGGAUUUUACUUUCUUUCUAUUAAGUGUAUGUUUACUUUUACUGUACUGCUUGCCACUCACCAUCUUACCGCAGGUCCCCGGAGAGCCCACCAUGCCCAUUUUGGGCUGCUUGUUUUUAGCAGAGGAAAGACAAUGUGCCCCAAUUACCCAAUGACCA